rnacentral:rRNA from 1 species
UAACACGUAGGUGACCUACCCCCAAAGAGGGGGGAUAACGGCCCGAAAGGGCUGCUAAUACCCCAUGUGACUAGCGAUUCAUUUCGUUAAUGAAAGCUUCCGCAAGGAGUGUGCUUUGGGAGGGGCCUGCGGCGGAUUAGAUUGUUGGUGGGGUAAUGGCCUACCAAGUCGAUGAUCCGUAGCUAGUCUGAGAGGACGAUUAGCCACACUGGCACUGACACACGGGCCAG